rnacentral:rRNA from 1 species
CGGAGGAAAUAAACUAACCAGCUUCCCUCAGUAAACUAACCAGGAUUCCCUCAGUAACGGCGAGUGAAGAGGGAAGAGCCCAGCGCCGAAUCCCGUCCGGGCGGGCGGAAUGUGCGUACAGAAGACCGACUCCCCGGCGUCGCUCAGGGGCCCAAGUCCUUCUGAUCGAGGCUCACCCGUGGACGGUGUUAGGCGUUAGCGGCCCCCGGUGCGCCGGGAUCGGGUCUUCUAGGAGUCAGGUGGCUUGGCAAUGCAGCCCAAACCCGGUGGUAAACUCCAUCUAUGGCUAAAUAUGUGCACGAGACUGACAGCCAACAAGUACUGUAAGGGAAAGUUGAAAAGAACUAUGAGAGAGUUCAACUGAACGGGUAAACGGGUGGGAUCUGUGCAGUCAACCGCUGAGAGGUAAACGGGUGGGAUCUGUGCAGUCUGCCUGGAGGAUUCAACACGGCUGGCAGGUCGGUCGCCCGUAACAGCAGAUCCCCUUGCGGGGACCGCAGCCCGAAUGCACACGGGCCCCGUAGGGCACAUUUCCUCCAUGGUGGUGCAGCGCGACCGGCUCCGGGUCGCCUGGGAAGGUCCCAGGGGGCAGGUGGCUCUCCGCUCCAGCAGAGAGUAUUAUAGUCCCCUGGCAGCAGUUUCACCAUGUCCCUAGGGCCGAGGGAGAUUGACCGCUGCCGCGCCCUUCUCCAGCAACUGUCCCGGCCACUCUCGGGGGUCGCUGGGGCAGCGACGGGGGUGGACUGUCCUCAGUACACCCCGACCGCAUCACGCCGCCGGCGGAGAAGUCCACAAGGGCCCAGGGGUCUGCGUAAUGUCGUUACCCACCCGACCAUCUUGAAACACGGACCAAGGAGUCUAACACGUGCACCAGUCGGAGGCCGAACGAAACCCUGUGGCGCAAUGAAGGUGAGGGCCGGCACGCACCGGCUGAGGUGGGAUCCGUCACGGCGGCGCAUCACCACCGCCCAUCUCGACCUGCUCUGUCGGGGAGGUGGAGCAUGAGUGUCGUGUGAUAGAACCUGAAAGAUGGUGAACUAUGCCUGGCAGGGCGAAGCCAGAGGAAACUCUGGUGGAGGUCUGUAGCAUGCAAAUCGGUCGUCCAUCCUGGAUAUAGGGGCGAAAUACUAAUCGAACCAUCUAGUAGCUGGUUCCCUCCGAAGUUUCCUUCAGGAUAGCUGGCGCUCGGAAACCCCAGUUUUAUCUGGUAAAGCGAAUGAUUAGAGGUUGUGGUCGAAACGAUCUCAAGAAUUCUCAAACUUUAAAUGGGUAAGAAGCCCGGCUCGCUGGCGUGGAGCGGGGCGUCGAAUGUGAGUGCCCAUUGGGCCACUUUUGAUAAGCAGAACUGGUGCUGCUGGAUGAACCAAACGCGGGGUUAAGGCGCCCGAUGCCGACGCUCAUCAGACCCCAGAAAAGGUGUUGGUUGAUUUAUACAGCAGAACAGUGGCCAUGGAAGUCAGUAAAUCAGUAAGGAGUGUGUAACAACUCAAUAGCCAAAUCAACUAGCCCUGAAAAAGGAUGAGCGCUGGAGCGUGGGCCCAUACCCCGCUGGCGCUGAGAGCCGCGGGGGCUAAGCCGCGAUGAGUAGGAGGCCGCUGCGCACGGAAGCAUGGGGUGAGGGCCCGGUGGGCCGGCGCAAGUGCAGAUCUUGAUGGUAGUAUCAAAUAUUCAAACAAGAACUUUGAAGGUCAAAGUGGAGAAGGGUUCCAUGUGAACAGCAGUUGAACAUGGGUCAGUCGGUCCUAAGAGAUGGGCGAGCGCCAUUCGGAAGCGACAGGCGAUGGCCUCCGUUGCCCUCAGCCGAUCGAAAGGGAGUCAGGUUCAGAUCCUUGCAGCGUCCAGUAUGGUAACACAAGCGUUCCCCGAGAAGCUGGCGGGGGCCCAGGGGAGAGUUCUCUUUCUUUGUGAAGGGCAGGGCACCCUGCAAUGGUUCACCCCGAGAGAGGGGCCCAAGCCUUGGAAAGUGUUGCGGUUCUGGCAGCAUCUGGUGAGCUCUCGCUGGUCCUUGAAAUUCCAGGGUAGAUGGUGUAAAUCUCGCGCCGGGCCGUACCCAUAUCCGCAGCAGGUCUCCAAGGUGAACAGCCUCUGGCAUGUUGGAACAAUGUAGGUAAGGGAAGUCGGCAAGUCAGAUCGUAACUUCGGGAUAAGGAUUGGCUCUAAAGCUGGGUCGGUCGGGCUGGGGGCGAAGCGGGGCUGGGCGCGUGCCGCAGAUGGAUGAGGCGUCUCCCGCUGGAGGACGGCGCCAACUCGGGACACGAGUCGGCCCCUUCUUGUGGAUCGCCCCAGCAACAGUGAUCGCCUCUCUCUGUUCACCUCCCGGGGUUCGUGGGCUGGCGUUCUGCCUCGGUCGAUGCCUAGAAGCUGACUUAGAACUGGUGCGGACCAGGGGAAUCCGACGGUUUAAUUAAAACAAAGCAUCGCAAAGGCCAGCAGUGGGUGUUGAUGCAAUGUGAUUUCUGCCCAGUGCCCUGAAUGUCAAAGUGAAGAAAUUCAGUUAUAUGAUUGAUUAUUUUUGUUAUGAAGCGCAGGUAAAUGGUGGGAGUAAAUAUAACUCUAGGUAGCCAAAUACCUCAUGAUCUAUUUAGUGACGCAUGUGAAUGGUUGAACGAGAUUCCCACUGUCCCUACUUACUAUCUAGCGAAACCACAGCCAAGGGAACAUGCUUGGCAGAAUCUGCGGGGAAAGAAAACCUGGUUGAGCUUGACUCUAGUCUGGCACUGUGAAGAGACUUGAGAGGUGUGGGAUAAGUGAUAGGCCCCCGGGCUGCCAGUGAAAUACCACUACUCUUAUCGUUUUUCCACUUACUCAGUGAGGUGGGGGGCGAGACCCGUGGGGCUCUCGCUUCUGGCUCCAAGCGCCUGGCGCACACCGGGCGCGACCCACUCCAUGGACAGUGACAGGUGGGGAGUUUGACUGGAGCGGUACAUCUGUCAAACGAUAACGCAGGUGUCCUAAGGCAAGCUCAGGGAGGACAGAACUCUCCUGCAGAGCAGAAGGGCAAAAGCUUGCUUGAUCUCGAUUUUCAGUAUGAAUACAGACCGUGAAAGUGGGGCCUCACAAUUCUUCUGACUUUUUGGGUUUCAAGCAGGAGGUGUCAGAACAGUUACCACAGGCUUAACUGGCUUGUGGCGGCCAAGCGUUCAUAGCAACGUCGCUUUUUGAUCCUUCGAUGUCAGCUCUACCUAUCAUUGUGAAGCAGAAUUCACCAAGUGUUGGAUUGUUCACCCACUAAUAGGGAACGUGAGCUGGGUUUAGACCAUCAUGAGACAGGUUUGUUUUACCCUAUUGAUGAGGUGUUGUUGCAAUAGUAAUCCUGCUCAGUACAAGAGGAUCUCAGUUCAGACAUUUGGUGCGUGUGCUUGGCUGAGGAGCCAAUGGGGCAAACAUACAAUCUGUGGGAUUAUGACUGAACGCCUCUAAGUCAGAAUCCCCCUAAACCGUAACGAUACCGCAGCGCUGUGGAGCCUCGGUUGGCCUAUGAUAGCCAGCCUCUGGGCCGGUGCAUAGAGCCGCUCGCCUCGGGACUCGAGUGUGGACAGAAGGGGCCACCUCUCUCGCCUGUAGUACACUGCCUGUUCCUUGGGAACCUGGUGCUAAAUCAAUCAUAGAUGACCUGAUUCUGGGUCAGGGUUUCAUAAGUAGCGCUCGUAGUGGCCGGCCCGGGGUUCCACAGUGUUUGUGGGGUAGUCC